rnacentral:rRNA from 1 species
UGGGGAAUAUUGCACAAUGGGCGCAAGCCCGAUGCAGCAACGCCGCGUGGGGGAUGAAGGCCUUCGGGUUGUAAACCCCUUUUAGCAGGGAAGAAGCGAAAGUGACGGUACCUGCAGAAAAAGCGUCGGCUAACUACGUGCCAGCAGCCGCGGUAAUACGUAGGACGCAAGCGUUGUCCGGAAUUAUUGGGCGUAAAGAGCUCGUAGGCGGUUUGUCGCGUCUGCUGUGAAAUUCCGAGGCUCAACCUCGGACCUGCAGUGGGUACGGGCAAACUAGAGUGUGGUAGGGGAGACUGGAAUUCCUGGUGUAGCGGUGGAAUGCGCAGAUAUCAGGAGGAACACCAAUGGCGAAGGCAGGUCUCUGGGCCACAACUGACGCUGAGGAGCGAAAGCGUGGGGAGCGAACAGGAUUAGAUACCCUGGUAGUCCACGCCGUAAACGGUGGGCACUAGAUGUGGGGACCAUUCCAUGGUUUCCGCGUCGCAGCUAACGCAUUAAGUGCCCCGCCUGGGGAGUACGGCCGCAAGGCUAA